rnacentral:lncRNA from 10 species
GCCAUGAUAAGACGUGCUUGCUUCCCGUUCACCUUCCGCCAUGAUUGUAAGUUUCCUGAGGCCUUCCAGCCAUGCUUCCUGUGCAGCCUGUGGAACUGUUGCAUCUCCCCAGAAGACACCGAAACAAGGAUUUCAGUGCAAGUUGUUUCAUGGGAGACUUCAAGAAGCAUCAGGGUCGAUCCCAGCACUUUGGGAGGCCAAGGACAUCUUUCAAUGGCUCCUGGCCAACUGGCAGCAGAAUUUUACCUUCCUGUGCAUGAAUGACCUUGGAUAUUAUUCUUGGUGGCAUGACUGGACACCUGCAGCCUCUUGAUGUUUCCAGUCAAAAAGGUAUUUAAGAGCCAUUUGUCAGGCGGACCACUUGAGCCCACGAGUUUGAGGCCAGCCUGGGCAGCAUAGUGGCACGCUGUUUCUAAAAAACAAAACAAAACAAAAACAAAACAAACAAACAAACAAACAAAAAACGAAAGAAAGGAAGAAAGAAAGAGAAAAGAGCAGUAAUAUCUUCAUCACUGGUCAUUGGUCAUUGUCUUUAAAACAACUUUCCAUCGAUAUCUUCUGGGGAGAACAAGAGAGCACUAGUGUCAAAACUUCAACCAGCUUGGAAGAAAAUUCUGGAGAUAAGAGAGCAAUAAUUUUUUAGGUUGAAUCACAUAAGUUUGCCAUCUUUUGGUCAAAAACAGUCUAAUGAGCAAUUUCACUUGGUUCCACUUACAAGAAAAGUUCCAUCUCUAACACUCUUGAUGGGACUGUGUGCAGAAAUAAGGGCAUUGACAAGUCGGAAUUAAAACAUAAUCUAGAAGGGUUGCAUUCUGAAUAUAAAAAGUUUUAGGAAUAUUUAAACCAGUUUGUUUUACUUAUAUUUUCCUUCUUUAUACAUAUGACAAGAGUAAUAUUUUUUAAAAAAUUAUUUAAAGGCCUAUUCAUAGCUUGAAAAAAAAUUCUUGCAGUAAAAGCAUUUGCAAAAAUAUGAAAUAAAAUUUGACAUGACAAGGAAGCAUUAUAUCAUUAAUUGGCAGCUUUUCUUCCUUAGUGACGUAAAAUAAUGACAUCAUAACAAUCAAGGAGUGUCUCAGAUUUUGUGAAAUAUGAUUUAUCCCGCCAUGGACCUCAGAGGCAGAGAGUGAGGUUGAUCAUAAUUCUUGGUUUCAGGUCAUAUUUUCACCAAUGGUUUGUGCUAGACCUAUCUCUGAUUUUGUCAUUGAAUAUUGGGUGAUAAUUAUCUCAGUCAUAUAGAUAAUAGAAGUGAGAAAUGGGGAUAAGAGGGAAAAUU